AUUACCGAGUGCGGGUCCGCGUGGCCCAACCUCCCACCCGUGCCUAUUGUACCCUGUUGCUUCGGCGGGCCCGCCAGCCUUCGGGCUGGCCGCCGGGGGGCGUCUCGCCCCCGGGCCCGUGCCCGCCGGAGACCCCAACAUGAACCCUGUUCUGAAAGCUUGGUGUCUGAGUGUGAUUGUUUGCAAUCAGUUAAAACUUUCAACAAUGGAUCUCUUGGUUCCGGCAUCGAUGAAGAACGCAGCGAAAUGCGAUAACUAAUGUGAAUUGCAGAAUUCAGUGAAUCAUCGAGUCUUUGAACGCACAUUGCGCCCCCUGGUAUUCCGGGGGGCAUGCCUGUCCGAGCGUCAUUGCUGCCCUCAAGCCCGGCUUGUGUGUUGGGCCCUCGUCCCCCGGCUCCCGGGGGACGGGCCCGAAAGGCAGCGGCGGCACCGCGUCCGGUCCUCGAGCGUAUGGGGCUUUGUCUUCCGCUCUGCAGGCCCGGCCGGCGCUUGCCGACGCAUAAACAACUUUUUUCCAGGUUGACCUCGGAUCAGGUAGGGAUACCCGCUGAACUUAAGCAUAUCAAUAAGCGGAGGAAAAGAAACCAACCGGGAUUGCCUCAGUAACGGCGAGUGAAGCGGCAAGAGCUCAAAUUUGAAAGCUGGCUCCUUCGGGGUCCGCAUUGUAAUUUGCAGAGGAUGCUUCGGGUGCAGCCCCCGUCUAAGUGCCCUGGAACGGGCCGUCAUAGAGGGUGAGAAUCCCGUAUGGGGCGGGGUGUCUGCGUCCGUGUGAAGCUCCUUCGACGAGUCGAGUUGUUUGGGAAUGCAGCUCUAAAUGGGUGGUAAAUUUCAUCUAAAGCUAAAUACUGGCCGGAGACCGAUAGCGCACAAGUAGAGUGAUCGAAAGAUGAAAAGCACUUUGAAAAGAGAGUUAAACAGCACGUGAAAUUGUUGAAAGGGAAGCGCUUGCAACCAGACUCGCUCGCGGGGUUCAGCCGGGCUUCGGCCCGGUGUACUUCCCCGCGGGCGGGCCAGCGUCGGUUUGGGCGGCCGGUCAAAGGCCUCCGGAAUGUAGCGCCCUUCGGGGCGCCUUAUAGCCGGGGGUGCAAUGCGGCCAGCCUG
rnacentral:sRNA from 1 species